UUGCUGCAAAUCCUUGAUUACACCGAGGGCUGCCAGUCAUUAUGAAGAUAUCUUUCCUCAUUAAAAUACAAUAAAAUGACAAGUUUGGUUUCUAUCCUUGUCUGUACAGAUAGAGCCAAGGUCAUAGCCAAGGUCUUGUCUGUACAGCCAAGGUCAUAGGCGCCCUAUGACCAUUUUAAAGUGAAAUCAACUAAAUAAAAGCGACAUAAGAUGGGAGGGGGCGCCAAGAUGGCGGUAGCGUAAGACGUCCCACGCCGUGCUCUCAGUACAAGAACUUUUGCUUUUCAAUUUCCUGUGUGUACAAGCGCUCAGUUAAUACCUUUUCUACUUUGUAAGACUAUCUUACUCUCAGGAAGAUGCCUAAAAUAGCCCAAAAAAGAACCAGUGACCACAACAAGUUGGAUAAGACCUGCACUGUUGCUUCGGAAAAAGACCACGACUAUGUCGGCGCGGCUCUUGACGCUCUUCAACCCGAGGCUGACGAAGAGGAUUUUCCGCCGCUCCCGGUUACCGCGGUAAGUAAGCCUCCUGUUGCCAAGAAGCCUUUUCCAAAUGUUUCACGGACAACUGGCAACUCAAACCCUGAUGAUACUACUGCUAUGCUUGCUAGCUUGAUCAAUACAAGAAGUGAUGCUUUAGAAACAAAGCUGGGAAAUAUGCUAGAAGAAAUUAAAGUUAUCAAUAAGAAAAUCAACUCAGUUGAAAAACGUGUGGAGCGCAAUGAAAAAGAUACACCGUCCUGCUUAAUCCGUGUCACUGAGAUGGAGCGCUAUGGCCGUCGCUGGAACCUCAGACUUCACCGAGUCGCUGAGACCGAGAAGGAGAAUGUGUGUGUUGGAGGAGGUGGUGCGGGUGUGCCGGGAGAUUCUUCGCCGGUAGCCUCGUUCUAUCAUCAUUCGCUUCAUUGCGAGGAGAUAUCGUGAUUACAUAUGGAAAGCGGCUAAGGGAAAUGACUUCCUGAAAAAAAAAAAUGGACUCCGUUUUACCGAAGACCUUUGCAAAGAAGAUCGUGAAUCCCGACAGAAGCUGUGUCCAAGCAUCCAGAAGGCUCGUGAAGAGGGAAAAUCAGCCUGCUUCGUAGGGGGCCGUGGUUUCAUCAACGGUGUGGAGAUACCCGCAGUGUUUACUCCAAUGCAGGAAUAAUCGCAGGAAUGUCACUCUACAGUUGAUGUUACUUUUUGGAAAUCCCAGUGGGGCAAUUCUGUUUGGCUUUCUCGUGGGUCUGAGCGUUCUGCAGGAGUUAUGAUUUUAAAGCACAGAUUUAAUGGGAAUAUUAUUUCUACUGAAUGUGAUUCGCUGGGUCACUUUAUUUGUCAACUAUUCUUCUAUGAUGACCAUCAUUUCAUUUGUGCCAAUAUUUAUGGUUGCAAUAAUAAAGGAGAAAAUGAUGA